rnacentral:rRNA from 1 species
GACGAACGCUGGCGGCGUGCUUAACACAUGCAAGUCGAACGGAAAGGCCCUGCUUUUGUGGGGUGCUCGAGUGGCGAACGGGUGAGUAACACGUGAGUAACCUGCCCUUGACUUUGGGAUAACUUCAGGAAACUGGGGCUAAUACCGGAUAGGAGCUCCUGCUGCAUGGUGGGGGUUGGAAAGUUUCGGCGGUUGGGGAUGGACUUGCGGCUUAUCAGCUUGUUGGUGGGGUAGUGGCUUACCAAGGCUUUGACGGGUAGCCGGCCUGAGAGGGUGACCGGCCACAUUGGGACUGAGAUACGGCCCAGACUCCUACGGGAGGCAGCAGUGGGGAAUAUUGCACAAUGGGCGGAAGCCUGAUGCAGCAACGCCGCGUGUGGGAUGACGGCCUUCGGGUUGUAAACCGCUUUCGCCUGUGACGAAGCGUGAGUGACGGUAAUGGGUAAAGAAGCACCGGCUAACUACGUG